rnacentral:rRNA from 1 species
CAGUAGCCACGGGAAUACAGAGGGUGCAAGCGUUAAUCGGAAUUACUGGGCGUAAAGCGCACGCAGGCGGUUUGUUAAGUCAGAUGUGAAAUCCCCGGGCUCAACCUGGGAACUGCAUUUGAAACUGGCAAGCUAGAGUCUCGUAGAGGGGGGUAGAAUUCCAGGUGUAGCGGUGAAAUGCGUAGAGAUCUGGAGGAAUACCGGUGGCGAAGGCGGCCCCCUGGACGAAGACUGACGCUCAGGUGCGAAAGCGUGGGGAGCAAACAGGAUUAGAUACCCGCGUAGUCCCUGUCUCUUAUAC